rnacentral:rRNA from 1 species
AUGAACGCUAGCUACAGGCUUAACACAUGCAAGUCGAGGGGCAGCAUGGUCUUAGCUUGCUAAGGCCGAUGGCGACCGGCGCACGGGUGAGUAACACGUAUCCAACCUGCCGUCUACUCUUGGACAGCCUUCUGAAAGGAAGAUUAAUACAAGAUGGCAUCAUGAGUCCGCAUGUUCACAUGAUUAAAGGUAUUCCGGUAGACGAUGGGGAUGCGUUCCAUUAGAUAGUAGGCGGGGUAACGGCCCACCUAGUCUUCGAUGGAUAGGGGUUCUGAGAGGAAGGUCCCCCACAUUGGAACUGAGACACGGUCCAAACUCCUACGGGAGGCAGCAGUGAGGAAUAUUGGUCAAUGGGCGAGAGCCUGAACCAGCCAAGUAGCGUGAAGGAUGACUGCCCUAUGGGUUGUAAACUUCUUUUAUAAAGGAAUAAAGUCGGGUAUGGAUACCCGUUUGCAUGUACUUUAUGAAUAAGGAUCGGCUAACUCCGUGCCAGCAGCCGCGGUAAUACGGAGGAUCCGAGCGUUAUCCGGAUUUAUUGGGUUUAAAGGGAGCGUAGAUGGAUGUUUAAGUCAGUUGUGAAAGUUUGCGGCUCAACCGUAAAAUUGCAGUUGAUACUGGAUAUCUUGAGUGCAGUUGAGGCAGGCGGAAUUCGUGGUGUAGCGGUGAAAUGCUUAGAUAUCACGAAGAACUCCGAUUGCGAAGGCAGCCUGCUAAGCUGCAACUGACAUUGAGGCUCGAAAGUGUGGGUAUCAAACAGGAUUAGAUACCCUGGUAGUCCACACGGUAAACGAUGAAUACUCGCUGUUUGCGAUAUACUGCAAGCGGCCAAGCGAAAGCGUUAAGUAUUCCACCUGGGGAGUACGCCGGCAACGGUGAAACUCAAAGGAAUUGACGGGGGCCCGCACAAGCGGAGGAACAUGUGGUUUAAUUCGAUGAUACGCGAGGAACCUUACCCGGGCUUAAAUUGCAGAUGAAUUACGGUGAAAGCCGUAAGCCGCAAGGCAUCUGUGAAGGUGCUGCAUGGUUGUCGUCAGCUCGUGUCGUGAGAUGUUGGGUUAAGUCCCGCAACGAGCGCAACCCCUAUCUUCAGUAGCCAGCAGGUAAGGCUGGGCACUCUGGAGAGACUGCCGGGGAUAACCCGGAGGAAGGUGGGGAUGACGUCAAAUCAGCACGGCCCUUACGUCCGGGGCUACACACGUGUUACAAUGGGGGGUACAGAGGGCCGCUACCACGCGAGUGGAUGCCAAUCCCCAAAACCUCUCUCAGUUCGGACUGGAGUCUGCAACCCGACUCCACGAAGCUGGAUUCGCUAGUAAUCGCGCAUCAGCCACGGCGCGGUGAAUACGUUCCCGGGCCUUGUACACACCGCCCGUCACACCAUGAGAGUCGGGAACACCCGAAGUCCGUAGCCUAACUAGCAAUAGAGGGCGCGGCCGAAGGUGGGUUCGAUAAUUGGGGUG